rnacentral:rRNA from 1 species
UACGGGGGGGGCAAGCGUUGUUCGGAAUUACUGGGCGUAAAGGGCGCGUAGGCGGCCUGUUAAGUCGGACGUGAAAUCCCUCGGCUCAACCGGGGAACUGCGUCCGAUACUGGCGAGGCUUGAAUCCGGGAGAGGGAUGUGGAAUUCCAGGUGUAGCGGUGAAAUGCGUAGAUAUCUGGAGGGACACCGGUGGCGAAGGCGGCAUCCUGGACCGGCAUUGACGCUGAGGCGCGAAAGCCAGGGGAGCGAACGGG